GAUGAACGCUAGCUACGAGGCUAACACAUGCAGUCGAGGGCAUCGGGAAGAAGGCUUGGCUUACGUUGCCGGCGACCGGCGCACGGGUGAGUAACACGUAUCCAACCUGCCCUUUACUCGGGGAUAGCCUUUCGAAAGAAAGAUUAAUACCCGAUAGCAUAAUGAUUCCGCAUGGUUUCAUUAUUAAAGGAUUCCGGUAAAGGAUGGGGAUGCGUUCCAUUAGGUUGUUGGUGAGGUAACGGCUCACCAAGCCUUCGAUGGAUAGGGGUUCUGAGAGGAAGGUCCCCCACAUUGGAACUGAGACACGGUCCAA
rnacentral:rRNA from 1 species